AAAACCCUCUUUACAUAUUCAAUAUCAAAUCCAAGUGUGGGAUUACUUGAACCCCCUGACUUGCCUCCACUCCUGGUUCCAUUGUUACCCUUAUUAAUUUAUGCAUGUCCAUAUAAUCUUGUUUCUCUAUUUGUUUCCAAUUUUAUAUGCCUUCGUAACAUUACACGUGUUUCUAAAACCCUGCUAAUGUAUUUAAUAGAUUUGGUGGGCAUGCGUAUUUAUUCAUGAAAUUGGUCUAUAAUUUUUUACCUCCUGCAAGUCUGUCCUUUGCUUUGGAAUUCAAGUGAUGAGGGCCUUUUUCCAAGUAUUUGGUAAUCUGUCCUGCAUUUAGAAUUUCAUUCAUCACAUUUUGUAAUGGUUGAAUUAAAUAAUUUUGCAAUCUUUUAUUAUAUUUCACUGUUAGCCCAUUUGGGCCGGGUGACUUUCCCACCAACUGCCAAACUAUUUGGCCUUAUCUACACUUAUAUACCUCAAGUAGAUUAUAUAAUAAUAGAAAGAAAUGGAUAUGUGAGAAGACAGAAUGACUCAAAAGGAGUCUGAAUAUCAGUCUUUUACCUAGACUGUUUGGUAUAAAUCAAAGUAAAUCAGCUGAAGACUUUCAGUUCCAAUUAAUUCAGAAGAAUAUGAAGAAUAUGAAUAAGAAAAAACCAAGCACUUAGUUCCGUUUGUUAAUUUCCAGUGUCCAACAGAGAUAAAUUUUGAUAGUUCAAUGAACUUCCAUAUAAAUCCAAAAUGUUCUUGCUGGAAUGAAGUUAUAAUCCACUUUGUUUGUGUUCUUCCAACUUGACACAGUAUUUAAUCUUCUUCUAAAUCAGUCUUCUUUAAGUAUAAAAUGUUAAUGACUUCCCAUAUUGUUAGUAAAGACAGUUGUUGUUUAGUCGGGUCCGACUCUUUGUGACCCCAUGGACCAGAGCAUGCCAGGCACUCCUGUCUUCCACUGCCUCCCACAGUUUGGUCAAACUCAUGUUUCUAGCUUCGAGAACACUGUCCAACCAUCUUGUCCUCUGUCGUCCCCUUCUCCUUGUGUCCUCAAUCUUUCCCAACAUCAGGGUCUUUUCCAGGGAGUCUUCUCUUUUCAUGAGAUGACCAAAGUACUGGAGCCUCAGCUUCAGGAUCUGUCCUUCCAGUGAGCACUCAGGGCUACCAAUGUAUCGUUGGUAUUUAAAGUAAAGUGGUGCCUCGCAAGACGAAAAUAAUCCAUUCCGCAAGUCUCUUCGUCUAGCGGUUUUUUCGUCUUGCGAAGCAACCCUAUUAGCGGCUUAGCGGAUUAGCGCUAUUAGCGGUUUAGCGGCUUAG